rnacentral:rRNA from 1 species
UACAGAGGGUGCGAGCGUUACUCGGAAUUACUGGGCGUAAAGGGCGCGUAGGUGGUUGUAUAAGAUUGUUGUGAAAUCCCUGGGCUUAACCUAGGAACUGCAACGAUGACUGUAUAGCUAGAGUAUUGUAGAGGGUAGUGGAAUUUCCGGUGUAGCGGUGAAAUGCGUAGAGAUCGGAAGGAACACCAGUGGCGAAGGCGGCUACCUGGACAAAUACUGACACUGAGGCGCGAGAGCGUGGGGAGCAAACAGG